GGGGAUGUAGCUUAGCUGGUUCAAAGCAUCUGUCUGUCGAACAGAAGAUCGUGGGUUCGAAUCCCAUCAUCCUCG
rnacentral:tRNA from 1 species